AUGAACGCUAGCUACAGGCUUAACACAUGCAAGUCGCGGGGAAACGACAUCGAAAGCUUGCUUUUGAUGGGCGUCGACCGGCGCACGGGUGAGUAACGCGUAUCCAACCUGCCCACCACUUGGGGAUAACCUUGCGAAAGUAAGACUAAUACCCAAUGACGUCUCUAGAAGACAUCUGAAAGAGAUUAAAGAUUUAUCGGUGAUGGAUGGGGAUGCGUCUGAUUAGCUUGUUGGCGGGGUAACGGCCCACCAAGGCGACGAUCAGUAGGGGUUCUGAGAGGAAGGUCCCCCACAUUGGAACUGAGACACGGUCCAAACUCCUACGGGAGGCAGCAGUGAGGAAUAUUGGUCAAUGGACGAGAGUCUGAACCAGCCAAGUAGCGUGCAGGAGGACGGCCCUAUGGGUUGUAAACUGCUUUUAUAAGGGAAUAAAGUGAGUCUCGUGAGACUUUUUGCAUGUACCUUAUGAAUAAGGACCGGCUAAUUCCGUG
rnacentral:rRNA from 1 species